UCUGGUCAGAACGAACGCUGGCGGCGCGCUUAAGCAUGCAAGUCGAACGGCAAGAGGUAGCAAUACCUCCUAGAGUGGCGGACUGGUGAGUAACACGUGGGUGACAUACCCUUCAGAUGGGGAUAGCUAUUAGAAAUAGUAGAUAAUACCGAAUACGAGCACAGGGGUUAGAGAUCUGUGAGGAAAGGAGCUAAGGCUCCGCUGAAGGAAUGGCCUGCGGCCCAUUAGCUAGUUGGUGAGGUAAGAGCCCACCAAGGCGAUGAUGGGUAUCCGGCCUUAGAGGGUGAACGGACACAUUGGGACUGAGAUACGGCCCAGACUCCUACGGGAGGCAGCAGCUAAGAAUAUUCCGCAAUGGACGAAAGUCUGACGGAGCGACGCCGCGUGGAUGAAGAAGGCCGGAAGGUUGUAAAAUCCUUUUGAAACUGAAGAAUAAGCGUUGUAGGGAAUGACAGCGUGGUGACAGUAGGUUUUGAAUAAGCAACGGCUAAUUACGUGCCAGCAGCAGC
rnacentral:rRNA from 1 species